GGAAGCAAGAAGGGAGGGAGCGAAAACUACAAGAGGGAGGGAGGCUCGGCAAUGCCAGACGUGGUGGGGGGAGAAAGACGGGCUAUGGAUUGCUGCUGCAGUAGCUGGAGGCGAGCUGCAAAAGGCAACUGGCCAAGGUGCAGCAAACCCCAGGUGGAAACCAGGUACCAGCCUUCUGACACCGGCACUGCAAGAAGGGGCUUGGAAGCUUGCUCUGAAUUGGAAACACGCAGGAGCAACAUCUCUUCUCAGCUGCCAGAAGAGGACGCUUCUUCACUCAGGACUUGGACCUUCUUUCACCCCAUCUCUGCCCCCCAGAGCCCCAUCCCAAAGGCAGGGAGGGGAAGGACUAAUGAGCUGCUGAGAGCCGGAGAGCAGAUCACAGAGGCUCCACUCCGUCUGCCCAGUGUUCAGACUACCUGUUCAGGACUACGAGAUUGUACAGUAGUCUGCACAUUGGUUAGGCUGUGCUGGGAUACACCACACACUGCCAGUGCUGCACGGGGACGGCAACACCUGCACGGCAGAGGGACAUGCUUGGAGAGGGUGGUGGGCUGCGGGAACAGCUGCAUGCAAAGUCCAUCCCUCAGCCUGGGAGGAUAACACCCUUUGAGGCCAUGCUUGAUCACUUUUACCUGCCUCUUCACCAGCCUACUCACAUCCUUCUUGUUCCUUCUCUCCCCUUCACCCCCCUUCUUUUAGCUUCACGCACUCGUCCCAGGGGUGGCUGCAUUCAGGAUGGCUUGUGUUUUACGUACUAAGCUUUGCCAUAAAAUACAGGGAUAAACCUAA